AAAACAGAUGCAACCAAAUGAUUCUCAACUGUUUGUGUAUUAUUACACAAAUUGGAUGUGAAAUCACAAACAAAGAUAUUGCAAUUUUAAAUCUAUAGCAACACUGUCUCAGUUCUCAGAUUUCGUUUCACCUCGGUCGUUCGGUUCAGUCAGUACAGUUACGGAACUUUUGUCGGUCGAUUUUCACUUUGUUUUUCGCGUUUCCACGAUAUUAAAGCGGAUUUUAUUAGGAAAAAGUGACGAAUUUCAAAAGGAACAAGGUGGUGCCGCUAGCAAAGGUUUUCAUAUCGACAUGAUGUCAAAGGCAGAAUUCUAGUAAGAACCAGCGGAAGACUUCGACGGUUGACCACAGGAACCACAAUCAAGUCGGAUCCGUGCGUUUCACUUCCUCGACCGGUUGUCGGACUGCCCCAAGCUCGAUGAUGUGCAUCCGGUCUGACGAAUGUUCAGUACGUAACCUGCAGCAUAACCGCUUGACGUCACCCAAGACCGCUGGACGCUCCGCUAUGUUGUUUUCCACGAUGGCAACUCAUCAGAAACUGACCUGCGAGUUUCGGUCCUCUCACCUUUCCCCGCAUCGGAAAGUCAUAUUCACGAUUGCUCUUUGAUCUGGCUGAUAUUGCAAUUACAUGUCAGAGAUGCGGAUAGACUGAUCAGGACAACGCAUCAAAAAACAUACAAACGAAGUACUCUUGUACAUUUACUCCAGGCAGUGACUCAAGCGUGUGCUAUACGCCCAAUCAAGCACACAGAAAUGAAUCAUCACAAAUGCUCUGAGUAACUGCAGCGAAGCAUCAGCGAGGGCCAAAGUGGACAACAUUUCUCUCAUCUUGAAAACGGUCUACUGUCAGCGCCCAAACUACAAUCAAAUUAUACCGGUCCUGUUGGAUGACGGUAUCGAUUAUUUGCUAGAAAAUUGUCCAAUGAUACCGGGAACAACUCUGAAACCCAUGUUGGCACACCCCACAAAAGGCAUACAGAAAGAGUUGGAGUGUUUCGAUGGGAUAGAUUUUACCUGCAAAUGGCAGUACGAUGGAGAACGCGCUCAGAUCCAUUUGCUAGAGGAUGGCAGAGUUAACAUCUACAGACGAAACCAGAAGAACAACACCAGCAGAUAUCCGGACGUCAUUGCCCGCGGUUGGGUUAUCUGAAACCGACCUGCGAGUUUCGAGUAAAAAGCCGCUCACCUUUCCCCGCAUCGGAAAGUCAUAUUCACGAUGGCUCUUUGAUCUGGCUGAUAUUGCGAUUACAUGUCAGAGCUGCGGAUAGAUUGAUCAGGACAACGCAUCAAAAAUCAAACGAAACGAAAAUGGUCACCGAAUUUCACUGGGUCGCUUCAGCUGUAUAUAAAAACCCAUCUGUGGGCAUUAUAUUAUGUUAUUAAAAUAAAUUCAUAUUAUAUAAUAAUAAAAAUGAGAAAACAAAUGAAUAUCAAACCAAAUUCAAUAAAAAUUAAUUUAAAAACGAAAAUGCCACGCUAUGCAAAUUAUUUCACCAAAAUAUAUUUUAUUCAACACCAUGCAAUACGCACGGUUUUACAUCACAUUCUUUUACAUCGUUUCAAUUACAUCUGUUUAUUUAUUACAUCGAAAGAAAUUACGUCGCUCUUGUUUAUUACACAGCAAGCUCUCGAGUACAUCGUACAAUGUAAUAUUAAACAAGCGAUGGAUUCAAUGGGUUGCAGCGAUUU